UAGACGAGGUCCAGUGGUUAAGGCGAUGGACUGCUAAUCCAUUGUGCUCUGCAACGGGUUCAAUCCCAUCCUCGUCGAA
rnacentral:tRNA from 1 species